rnacentral:rRNA from 1 species
CCAAUAGCGUAUAUUAAAGUUGUUGCAGUUAAAAAGCUCGUAGUUGAACUUCGGGGUUUACCCAUUGGUCAGGCUUAAUUGUCUGUACUGGUGAGAUAAAUCUCUACCUUCUGAGGAACUUUCAUGCCAUUUAUUUGGUGUGAUGGGAAAUCAGGACUGUUACUUUGAAAAAUUAGAGUGUUUAAAGCAGGCUAACGUCUGAAUACAUUAGCAUGGAAUAAUGAAAUAGGACGGACUGAUUCUAUUUCGUUGAUUUCUAGGAUCACCGUAAUGAUUAAUAGGGAUAGUUGGGGGCAUUAGUAUUCAAUUGUCAGAGGUGAAAUUCUUGGAUUUAUUGAAGACUAACUACUGCGAAAGCAUUUGCCAAGGAUGUUUUCAUUAAUCAAGAACGAAAGUUAGGGGAUCGAAGACGAUCAGAUACCGUCGUAGUCUUAACCAUAAACUAUGCCGACUAGGGAUCGGACGAAGUUAAUUUUAUAAUGACGCGUUCGGCACCUUACG